GUGGACUCUCAAGCGUGAGGUAAGGGCAUCUGGUGAAUGCCUUGGCAUGUACAGGCGAUGAAGGACGUGGCACGCUGCGAUAAGCGUGGGGGAGCUGUGAGCAAGCUUUGAUCCCGCGAUUUCCGAAUGGGACAACCCACCUUCACCAUUUAAUUCCGUUGUUGGCGGUUCUUUCGGGAGCUGGCAGCCGCGUAGUUAAAUGGGAGAGGUAUCACUAAGCUGAAUAAAAUAGGCUUUGGUGAAGCGAACCCGGAGAACUGAAACAUCUCAGUACCCGGAGGAAAAGACAUCAACCGAGAUUCCGUUAGUAGUGGCGAGCGAACGCGGACCAGGCCAGUGCCUGGUGCUUAAUUAGCAGAACGAUCUGGAAAGUUCGGCCAUAGCGGGUGACAGCCCCGUAUGCGAAAAUGAAGCAUCAGGACUUGAGUAGGGCGGAGCACGUGAAACUCUGUCUGAACAUGGGGGGACCACCCUCCAAGCCUAAAUACUCGUACAUGACCGAUAGCGAACCAGUACCGUGAGGGAAAGGUGAAAAGCACCCCGAUGAGGGGAGUGAAACAGUACCUGAAACCGGAUGCCUACAAGCAGUGGGAGGGUCCUUGAGACCUGACCGCGUACCUCUUGCAUAAUGGGUCUGUGACUUAGUGUAUCAUGCAAGCUUAAGCCGUUAGGUGUAGGCGCAGCGAAAGCGAGUCUGAAUAGGGCGACUGAGUAUGAUGCAUUAGACCCGAAACCCGGCGAUCUAGGCAUGACCAGGUUGAAGGUGCGGUAACACGCACUGGAGGACCGAACCGUUUAAUGUUGAAAAAUUAUCGGAUGAGUUGUGUUUAGGGGUGAAAGGCCAAUCAAGCCGGGAAAUAGCUGGUUCUCCGCGAAAUCUAUUGAGGUAGAGCGUCGGAUGAUUGCCGUUGGGGGUAGAGCACUGGAUGGUUGCGGGGGUCGCGAGAUCUACCAAUACUAACCAAACUCCGAAUACCAACGAGUCUAGUCCGGCAGACAGACGGCGGGUGCUAAGGUCCGUCGUCAAAAGGGAAACAGCCCUAACCUACAGCUAAGGUCCCCAAGUCACGUCUAAGUGGGAAAGCAUGUGGGAUUUCCAAAACAACCAGGAGGUUGGCUUAGAAGCAGCCAUCCUUUAAAGAAAGCGUAACAGCUCACUGGUCUAAAUAAGAGAUCCUGCGGCGAAGAUGUAACGGGGCUCAAGACGUGCACCGAAGCUUAGGGUGUGAUCGUUUACGAUCACGCGGUAGCGGAGCGUUCCGUAGGCCGUUGAAGCGAUCUGGUAAUGGGUCGUGGAGGUAUCGGAAGUGCGAAUGCAGACAUGAGUAGCGAUUAACAGUGUGAGAUGCACUGUCGCCGAAAUUCCAAGGGUUCCUGCUUAAAGCUAAUCUGAGCAGGGUAAGCCGGCCCCUAAGACGAGCCCGAAGGGGGUAGUCGAUGGGAACCACGUUAAUAUUCGUGGGCCUGGAGGUGUGUGACGGAUGGCGUAAAUUGUUCGGCCUUAUUGGAUUGGUCCGGGCAGUGAAGUUGUCCCAGGAAAUAGCCCCUCCGUAUAGACCGUACCCUAAACCGACACAGGUGGAAUGGUAGAGUAUACCAAGGCGUUUGAGAGAAGUAUCCUGAAGGAACUCGGCAAAUUGCCUCCGUACCUUCGGAAGAAGGAGGCCCCACAUUAAGGCAACUUUUUGUGGGGGGCACAGGCCAGGGGGUAGCGACUGUUUAGCAAAAACACAGGGCUCUGCUAAGUCGGCUUCAAGACGACGUAUAGGGCCUGACGCCUGCCCGGUGCCUGAAGGUUAAGAGGAGGAGUGCAAGCUCUGAAUUGAAGCCCAGGUAAACGGCGGCCGUAACUAUAACGGUCCUAAGGUAGCGAAAUUCCUUGUCGGGUAAGUUCCGACCUGCACGAAUGGCGUAACGACUUCCCCACUGUCUCCAGGAUAUGCUCAGCGAAAUUGAAUUCUCCGUGAAGAUGCGGAGUACCCGCGGUUAGACGGAAAGACCCCGUGCACCUUUACUGCAGCUUCAGAGUGGCAUUAGGAAAGAACUGUGUAGCAUAGGUGGGAGGCUUUGAAGCGAUGACGCCAGUUGUCGUGGAGCCAUAGGUGAAAUACCACCCUGUUGUUUUCUGAUGUCUAACCUCGCACCGUUAUCCGGUGCAGGGACCCUCUGUGGCGGGUAGUUUGACUGGGGCGGUCGCCUCCUAAAGAGUAACGGAGGCGCGCGAUGGUGGGCUCAGGACGGUUGGAAACCGUCUGUUAGAGUGCAAUGGCAUAAGCCCGCCUGACUGCGAGACUGACAAGUCGAGCAGAGACGAAAGUCGGUCAUAGUGAUCCGGUGGUCCCUCGUGGAAGGGCCAUCGCUCAACGGAUAAAAGGUACGCCGGGGAUAACAGGCUGAUGAUUCCCAAGAGCUCAUAUCGACGGAAUCGUUUGGCACCUCGAUGUCGGCUCAUCACAUCCUGGGGCUGGAGCAGGUCCCAAGGGUUUGGCUGUUCGCCAAUUAAAGUGGUACGUGAGCUGGGUUCAGAACGUCGCGAGACAGUUUGGUCCCUAUCUGCCGUGGGCGUCGAAAUUUGAGAGGAGUUGACCCUAGUACGAGAGGACCGGGUUGAACAUACCUCUGGUGUACCUGUCGUCGUGCCAACGGCGCAGCAGGGUAGCUAUGUAUGGACGGGAUAACCGCUGAAAGCAUCUAAGCGGGAAGCCUCCCUCAAGAUAAGAUUUCUUCGAGCGGUCGUAGACCACGACCUUGAUAGGCCGGAUGUAGAAGUGUGGUAACAUAUGGAGCUAACCGGUCCUAAUUGCUCUGAUCGCGCCUGA
rnacentral:rRNA from 1 species